rnacentral:sRNA from 1 species
CAGAGGGCCCAGGAGACUGAAGUCUUGUCUUUCUACAGAAUGGGUCCAGCAUGGGAACUGGCAGUACAACCUUCUCCCCAUAGCCCUGCCAGUGUGCUUCAACUCUGAUCAGAGGCAGAUUAAGGUUUCCCCGUCCCUUUUGCCUGCGGCCACG